rnacentral:lncRNA from 1 species
GAGCGACGCCUGCACCGCUUCGGCCGCAGAGAAGGCGAGCAGCGAGCCCUCCUUGGCCAAGAAGGCUUUGCCGUCCUCCGCAUCCGCUUGGAGCGCCUCGGCUUUGUCGAAGUUGCCGCCUCCGGGUAGCGGCUGUGGAGCGAACUUGCGGGCAGCCGCCGCCUCUUGGUGCUGGGGCGACGCAGAGAAGCCGCCGGGCAGAGUGGCCAUGAGCGUGGAGCGGGCGCUGCAUCAUCAUCAGCGACGGCGGGAACGCUGCGCUCAUAGACGCGUUCGGGAGAAGCCAGGGAGAGACGAAAAGUCCCCGUGUCCCGCCGCCGCCUGGAAGCCCUCCGGACGCUGGGAGUACCACCGGGAACUCCGGGCAGGGGCCGAGCGGUGCCCAGAGCGCAGACGCCGCCGCCGCCCCUCAGUGCAGGACCCGCAGCAUACCCGGCCUGCGCGGGUGCAGCCACCGAGCGCGAUGAGGCCGUGCGCCCGGGAUGGAGAGGGCGCCGGGGACCUCACGUUCGCCGGAACCGCUCUCGGCUGCUAGCCCGUCGGAACGCGCGCGCUUCGCGUCUGCAGGUCUCGGCCCAGCUACCAGCAGUGCGUGCGUCCGUCUGUCCGUCCCGCACUCCGUCGUCUCCCACGGGCGGCUGGGGAGCGCGCGAAGCCGGCGCACUUGUCUCUGGCGGGCGCCGCCAGCACCUUUAAAUCGCGCUCCUCUUUCUCAUUCACAUUUUGCCAGCUGCCCAGCGGAGCUCGUGUCACGUGGGACCGAGCACCAACUCCUAUUUGCUAUUCAGGGGAAGGCGGGGCGAAAUUAGGGCUCCGCCCCCUUCACGCAGGCGGGCCGCGAGCGGACUGCGGGCGCCACCGUUGGAGCGUGCUGGCCUGGGAGCUGGAGCCUUUGCACCGCGCGGAGCAAACUUAAGAGGGACCCUUGCUACCUACCUGACUCAGACCCUAGAGUCCCUGGCAUCCCUGUGGAGGCCUCAUGAGAGGCGGCUUGGAGCUGGCACCCGCCACCGAUGGGCCGGGAGUGUUUUACUUAUGGUCGCUACAGCAGAACCCUGUGUGAUGCUCACCUUAACCAGGGGCGCUCUGGUUGUGCCAAGGGUCCGGGCAAGGUCUCCGGAUUGCGUUUAAGGUCUUGCCUCUGCAGGUCUGCUCCCAGAGGUGCGCCUGGGCCUGUCAGCCCUUGUUCACACGACACGGAAGCUGCACGGUUGCUUGCGGCCCGCUGGUGGCGGCGGGGCGGCCGGCUGGUGGUCUCCCUCAUUCCUGGUUGGGCCCUCCAUGAGCGAUCCCUGUUCAUUUUUCAUGACAUUCUUAAUCAUCGCACCUAUUUACCCACUUUGCCAGCGUACACCAAAAUAACAGCCACGAUAAUUAUG